rnacentral:lncRNA from 1 species
UGAAAAGAAAAUUUGAAAAUCAAAAGCAUAAGGCUUAGGUUUCUAAUGUUUGAAAACAAUAGUUAAAUGUUUGCACAAAAAAGUUUUGGCUUGGGUUAGAGUGGAGAGAAGAAGAAGAAUGGCUAAGUCCUAAGCAAAACAAAAAGGUGAGGGAUAAGAAAUGAAACCACACUAGGAGUUCCUCUCUUGAGAUCAUAUUGAU